GAUGAACGCUGGCUACAGGCUUAACACAUGCAAGUCGAGGGGAAACGACGGGGAAGCUUGCUUCCCCGGGCGUCGACCGGCGCACGGGUGAGUAACGCGUAUCCAACCUGCCUCUGACUGAGGGAUAACCCGUCGAAAGUCGGCCUAAUACCUCAUGGCAUCGUCUGCGGGCAUCCAACGACGAUUAAAGAUUUCAUCGGUCAGGGAUGGGGAUGCGUCUGAUUAGCUAGUUGGCGGGGUAACGGCCCACCAAGGCGACGAUCAGUAGGGGUUCUGAGAGGCCGGUCCCCCACAUUGGACCUGCGACACGGUCCAAACACAUACGGGAGGCAGCAGUGAGGGAUAUUGGUCGAUGAGAGAGAGCCUGAGCCGGCCAAGUAGCGUGCCGGAUGACGGCCCUAUGGGUUGUAAACUGCUUUUAUGCGGGGAUAAAGUGAGGGACGUGCCCUUCAUUGCAGGUACCGCAUGAAUACGGACCGGAUCAUUCCG
rnacentral:rRNA from 1 species